UACAGAGGGUGCGAGCGUUAAUCGGAAUUACUGGGCGUAAAGCGCGCGUAGGCGGCUUUGCAAGUCGAGUGUGAAAUCCCCAGGCUUAACCUGGGAACUGCAUUCGAGACUGCAUAGCUAGAGUAUGGGAGAGGGAAGUGGAAUUUCAGGUGUAGCGGUGAAAUGCGUAGAUAUCUGAAGGAACAUCAGUGGCGAAAGCGACUUCCUGGACCAAUACUGACGCUCAUGUGCGAAAGCGUGGGGAGCGAACAGG
rnacentral:rRNA from 1 species